UACGUAGGGUGCGAGCGUUGUCCGGAAUUAUUGGGCGUAAAGAGCUUGUAGGCGGUUUGUCGCGUCUGCUGUGAAAAUCCGAGGCUCAACCUCGGACUUGCAGUGGGUACGGGCAGGCUAGAGUGUGGUAGGGGAGACUGGAAUUCCUGGUGUAGCGGUGGAAUGCGCAGAUAUCAGGAGGAACACCGAUGGCGAAGGCAGGUCUCUGGGCCACUACUGACGCUGAGAAGCGAAAGCAUGGGGAGCGAACAGG
rnacentral:rRNA from 1 species